GAUUUUUCCUAAGUACUUUAAUAUGGAGAUUAUACCAAGUUAAAGGGUGUGUGGCAUUGUGACUCACUGCAGCAGAGCUGUUACCUUCUGUGCUGGUCCCACUGUUGGCGUAUGCUGGGAAUGGGGGGAUUAACAUGGGUGGGGGAUUUGGGGAGGCAAAAGCAACUGAGCCCAGGAACCCAAACAGAGCUGCAGCCAGCCUAGCGCUGGGGAGGCUCAGACUGGGGCUGGUACAAGGGAAAUGCCUUUGUAUGGAGAAGAUGGAACCCUUCCGAGCUGCUUUGAGAGAUUCUCAUCUGGCUUCUGUUGGAGGCUGCCUCCCCCUAGCGAGUGCGAGCAGAACCCGCAGGCAGCUGCUGUGCCUUCAUCUCAGCGCUGCAAGAGCUGCAGGUGCUGUGCAUGCAUGCUAUGGAUGCAGCGCUGGGCAUGCAUCUUGGUGCUGUGCAUGUUAUGGGUGCAAGGCUGUGCAUGCACAUUAGGUGCUGGGCUGCAUGCACCUCAGGUGCUGUGCAUUGGCAACACGUGCUGUGCGUGCUAUGGAUGUGGUGCUGUGCAUGCUAUGGAUCUGGUGCUGUGCACGCAUCUUGGUGCUGUGCAUGCACCUCAGGUGCUGUGCUGCGUGCACCUCAGGUGCUGUGCAUGCAUCUUGAGUAUUCUGCUUGCACUUUGGGUGUUGUGCACCCCCUGGAUGUCUCCUCUUCCUCGUGCGCUGUGCACAUCGCAGCUGUUAGUUUAACCAGAGCCCCUGAGCUGAGCGUGCAGCAGCUGCUUGCAGUGCCUGGGGAGCAGUGGCAAUGCCAGGGACAGCGGUGCAGACCGUUCUUGACCCGGCAAGAGGUCUACAACUACACAGAGCCCAGCGUAGGCGUGGGGCUGAGCAGACAGAGCCCUUUGUUCCUUGGGCUGAUGAGCAGAUGGAGACCAGCUCUGACCUCAAGUUCAGGAUGCCCAGGGGUUUCACGAGCACCCAAGGACAAAGGCUGGCAAGCGAUGAAAGGGCUCCUGCUCUCGUUUACUGCACCCGUGUCCACAGAAUUACGUCGGUGAGGAUGGGGGCUGCUGUCAUCGGAUGAGAGCUGAGCUUUUAGGAAAAAGUCCCAGUUACAUCGAAGAUAGUGGCAAAACUCCCACAAACUUCCAGGAGCCAAGGCUGCCUCCCCAGAGCAUCGUUUUUCUCCAAAGUGAUGAGCAGCCACAACUCAGCCUGACAUGAACGGGAGCUGAGAGUCCCUGGCAGCUUCAGAAACCCAAUAAACCAGCACCUAAAGCAGAGGUGCUUCA
rnacentral:lncRNA from 1 species